GGGCGCGCCUCGGUGGUUCAUUUACGGCGCAAAUCGAAAACGCAAGUAACAGCAAAAAAGGGAGAAAGAUGAAGAAGACGAAGGUCUUCAUGGGGUUCAUGAACCAAUUGAAGGACGUCUUGGGUCGACUGGGGAGGUACAAGGAAGAGAGCAAGACGUUACUUACUUCAGCAAAACACUGAUUCUGCGUCAACAGUGACCCCCCUUGGUAGCCCUCUUCCAAGCUACCUGCUGAACAUACAGUUUGCCAAACUGAAAUAAUUCACCUUGCAGCACUUCCUAUUACUGUUAGAUGGUGGUGCUUGUUACUUGCCCAAACCCCAUUUUCUUAACCAUAACUACCCAUUUCUCCAUUGCAGGGUCACGGGGGUCUAGAGUCAACAGGCACAAGGCAGGGAAUGACCCAGGUUGGGGUGCCAACCCAACGCAGGGUACUCACACCAUUCACAGACAAUUUGGUGGGGGGGGGGGGGGGCAGAGGAAACCCCAUGAUGGCACGGGAAGAAAAUGAAAACUCCGCCCCCACAGAGCCAGGACGUCGGGCACAAACGCAGGCCUGCGCCGUGACAGAGCUCGGCUCCUCACUUGGGCUUCUCCAGCGGCUCUGGCUCCUUCCGCGCUUUUCCCACAGGAUUUUUCUCUGCAUCUUCCACUGUCACCAACUGGAACUCAGCCUCCACUUUACCCUGGAUGUCCAAAAAAAUGACAUGAAACAUAUAAAGCCACUGGGACACCUAAAUAAUGCAGUGCUUUCCCUGCGCCCCGUCAAGGAGAAGCGAUCACCAGCUUUACCAUCAGGAGGUAAGUGUUCCCGCUGGCAUCCACAAACUGCAGGUCCUCUGGCUUCAUCUGGCUCCUCUUGCUCUUCUUUUUCUUCUUCUUGUUCUUCCUGGCCUCCUCCGCCUCGCGCUCCUCCCUCUCGAUGUCCUCCAGGCUCUUGAGCUUAAUGACAGGCCACCAGCCUUUCAUCCUCUUGCUGCGGAAGAUAGAGAAGCGAGGGUUGGCCUUGUCCUUCGCCAUCUUCACGCUGCACUGCUCUGAGGACUUGGCUGCCCUCACCAUAUCAUUCAGGCGUAGCUCUAUGGAGCCUGCAGGUGAAUGGAGAAGCGUCAAAAAAAGCAGGGUCUGUGAAGGCAUGGUGCAGUUCAGGGGUCUCAUUUAAUUUGGCAAGGACCUGGGGGACACAGCUCACACUGACAUACAAUAUGCCGGCUGCAGAAGUGAACUUCGGUCUAUGUGGCUUAAUGGACGCACCACAACAUAAUACUGAAGACUGUAACCAAAAGAAGGAAAUAGAGUCACUGAUUCACAACAAGCCAACAUCCAGGCGCAUUCAAACAUUCAAGCUGAAGAUUCUUUGGUGCAAAGUGCAUGAGGCUUUGGACGACGUGUGUGCCCACCAGGACCAGCCGGCCGAAGGCACGCUGCUCCAUGACGAAGACGGGAAAAAAGGAUCGUGUGCGAGGGAAUCCUGGCGAAGGCGAUCCGCUUCCCUCCACUCAUCAUCCAGAGAAAUACAUCGGGCAGUGUGCUUUGGGGCUGCCGACACACGAGACACACGAGA